CGAAAUGCGAUAAGUAAUGCGAAUUGCAGAAUCCGUGAGUCAUCGAAUUUUUGAACGCAUAUUGCGCCCUUUGGUAUUCCGAAGGGCAUGCCUGUUCGAGCGUCAUUAUCACCUCUCAAGCCUGGCUUGCUGUUGGAUCUAGGUCUUAGCUCUCUUAACUAUAACCGGUCCUAAAGAUAAUGACGGCGUCUGUGAGGAUCCCAGUACAUUGAGCUUUCUAAGCACGUACGAGGCGAGAAUCUAGACCCGGUCUUAACUAUUAUUUAUCAAGGUUGACCUCGGAUCAGUUAGAGAUACCCGCUGAACUUGAGC
rnacentral:misc_RNA from 1 species